rnacentral:rRNA from 1 species
AGAGUUUGAUCAUGGCUCAGAUUGAACGCUGGCGGAAUGCUUUACACAUGCAAGUCGAACGGCAGCACGGGAGCUUGCUCCUGGUGGCGAGUGGCGAACGGGUGAGUAAUGCGUCGGAACGUACCGAGUAAUGGAGGAUAACGCAGCGAAAGCUGUGCUAAUACCGCAUACGCCCUGAGGGGGAAAGUGGGGGAUCGCAAGACCUCACGUUAUUCGAGCGGCCGACGUCUGAUUAGCUAGUUGGUGGGGUAAUGGCCUACCAAGGCGACGAUCAGUAGCGGGUCUGAGAGGAUGAUCCGCCACACUGGAACUGAGACACGGUCCAGACUCCUACGGGAGGCAGCAGUGGGGAAUUUUGGACAAUGGGGGCAACCCUGAUCCAGCCAUUCCGCGUGAGUGAAGAAGGCCUUCGGGUUGUAAAGCUCUUUCAGCUGGAACGAAACGGUGCGCUCUAACAUAGCGUGCUAAUGACGGUACCAGCAGAAGAAGCACCGGCUAACUACGUGCCAGCAGCCGCGGUAAUACGUAGGGUGCGAGCGUUAAUCGGAAUUACUGGGCGUAAAGCGUGCGCAGGCGGAUUGUUAAGCAAGAUGUGAAAUCCCCGGGCUUAACCUGGGAAUGGCAUUUUGAACUGGCAGUCUAGAGUGCGUCAGAGGGGGGUGGAAUUCCACGUGUAGCAGUGAAAUGCGUAGAGAUGUGGAGGAACACCCAUGG